rnacentral:ncRNA from 2 species
UAAAAGUGCAGGCAGGGUCAUCCUGUACUGGCCACAGCAUGGUUGCGAUAGAAAUAUUAAGCGUAAUUUAAGUACGCCGUCCUUGCUGGAUUCCUUGGCAAAGGGAAUUUACAUAGACU